rnacentral:rRNA from 1 species
UACGAAGGGGGCUAGCGUUGUUCGGAAUUACUGGGCGUAAAGCGUAUGCAGGCGGAUCGUUAAGUCGGGGGUGAAAUCCCGAGGCUCAACCUCGGAACUGCCUUCGAUACUGGCGAUCUUGAGUCCGGGAGAGGUGAGUGGAACUCCGAGUGUAGAGGUGAAAUUCGUAGAUAUUCGGAAGAACACCAGUGGCGAAGGGCG